CUCCUCCACACGGCAUCCUGCCCAUCCGAGACACCAACAGCUCAUUCCUACUGCAGUGGAAGGAGCCCAAAAAAACAGAGGGCAUUGUGGGAGACUAUCUGUACUGCAGUGAGGUUGGAAGUGGACAGUGGAAGACCAAAACAAUAAGCCCAUCACUAAAACCAGGUGACUGAACUUCAGUAAGGAAGUUUUUACCAGUUCAGAGUCUUCGCAGCCAGUAUUGUUAAACUGAGCUGUUUCUGGAUGAUGCCUGAGCCUGUUUAGAGAAGUGAGGCGGAACUCUCUGGUGCUGCUGUGGGCGGAGCCUCUGUAGAAGGGCCAAUCAGAGAUCAGCAGAGACCAGAGAAUUGAUCUGGAGGAGCGGACGAAGCCGGGCAGCAGCAUACAGAAGGUUUGGAUUGAGAUAUUCAGCCCCACAGAAAACAAUAAAGGGAAGUACACCCUGGAGAUGUUCGACGGCCAGGAAACACACAAGCGCUCUCUGGAUCUGUCUGGACAAGCAUUCGCAGAUGCUUUGCUGGAACACCAGAGACUGAAGUAAGUCAAGAUUAAAAUUUGACCUCUGACCCGCUGAACUCUAACCUCUUUGGUUACUGUUGCUAACUUACAAAACCUUACCUUACAAAAGAUUCUAUAGAAAUGAAUAGA